GGUGAACGCUGGCGGCGUGCUUAAGACAUGCAAGUCGAACGGCAGUCUUCGGACUGUAGUGGCGCACGGGUGAGUAACGCGUAACUGACCUACCCCAAAGUCGCGGAUAACGAUUCGAAAGAAUCGCUAAUACGUGAUGUGCUGUCAGAUUGUGUUCUGCCCGUAAAGAUUGAUUGCUUUGGGAUGGGGUUGCGUUCCAUCAGCUAGUUGGUGGGGUAAAGGCCCACCAAGGCGACGACGGAUAGCCGGCCUGAGAGGGUGGCCGGCCACAGGGGCACUGAGACACGGGUCCCACUCCUACGGGAGGCAGCAGUUGGGAAUCUUCCACAAUGGGCGAAGGCCUGAUGGAGCGACGCCGCGUGAGGGAUGAAGGUCUUCGGAUCGUAAACCUCUGAAUCAGGGACGAAAGACACUUCGGUGGGAUGACGGUACCUGAGUAAUAGCACCGGCUAACUCCGUGCCAGCCGCCGCGGUAAAAC
rnacentral:rRNA from 1 species